UGGGGAAUAUUGCACAAUGGGGGAAACCCUGAUGCAGCGACGCCGCGUGAGCGAAGAAGGUUUUCGAAUCGUAAAGCUCUGUCCUAUGAGAAGAUAAUGACGGUAUCAUAGGAGGAAGCCCCGGCUAAAUACGUGCCAUCAGCCGCGGUAAUACGUAUGGGGCGAGCGUUGUCCGGAAUUAUUGGGCGUAAAGGGUACGUAGGCGGUCUAUUAAGUCAGGUGUGAAAGCGUGAGGCUUAACCUCAUUAAGCACUUGAAACUGAUAGACUUGAGUGAAGUGGAGGAAAGUGGAAUUCCUAGUGUAGCGGUGAAAUGCGUAGAUAUUAGUGGGAAUACCGGUGGCGAAGGCGACUGGCUGGACUUAUACUGACGCUCAGGUACGAAAGCGUGGGGAGCAAACAGG
rnacentral:rRNA from 1 species